CUUUUUGUUAGGUGAUGGCGUGCCUUUUGAAGAAUGAGCCUGCGAGUCAGCGGCAUGUCGCGAGGUUAACCCGUGUGGGGUAGUCGUAGCGAAAGCGAAUCCUAAUGAGGGUGUUUUUUUAGUGGCAUGUCCUGGACCCGAAGCGGGGUGAUCUACCCAUGGCCAGUGUGAAGCAGCUGUAAGAGGUUGUGGAGGCGCGAACCCACUUAGGUUGAAAACUGAGGGGAUGAGCUGUGGGUAGGGGUGAAAGGCCAAUCAAACUCCGUGAUAGCUGGUUCUCCCCGAAAUGCAUUUAGGUGCAGCGUUGUGUGUUUCUUGCUGGAGGUAGAGCUACUGGUUGGUUGAGCGGGACUACAAUCUUAGCAAUGUCAGCCAAACUCCGAAUGCCGGUAAUGUUAAGCAUGGCAGUGAGACUGCGGGGGAUAAGCUCCGUUGGUCGAGAGGGAAACAGCCCAGAUCGCCGGUUAAGGCCCCUAAGGGUGUACUAAGUGGAAAAGGAUGUGGGAUCGCGAAGACAGCCAGGAGGUUGGCUUAGAAGCAGCCAUCCUUGAAAGAGUGCGUAAUAGCUCACUGGUCGAGUGGUUCUGCGCCGACAAUGUAGUGGGGCUCAAGUACACCGCCGAAGCCGCGGCAGUCAACAAUGUGUUUUGUUGGUUGGGUAGGGGAGCGUCGUGCACUGCUGUGAAGCACCUGGGUGACUUGAUGGUGUGGAGUGUGUGCGAGUGAGAAUGCAGGCAUGAGUAACGAAUGAAAAGUGGAAAACUUUUCCGCCGGAUGACUAAGGGUUCCUGGGUUAAGCUAAUCUUCCCAGGGUGAGUCGGGACCUAAGGCGAGGCCGACAGGCGUAGUCGAUGGAUAACCAGUUGAUAUUCUGGUACCCGUGUAUGUGCGCCCAGUGGUGAAUCAGUGGUACUAACCAUCCAUUGAUCUGCUGGUCAUGCUUUGUGUGUGGUUGGUGGUGAUGUGCGUGGGAUCUUCGUUGGUAGUAGCCAAGUGAUGGGGUGACGCAGUGAGGUAGCCGAGCCAUUUAUUGGAUUGUGGUGUAAGCGUGUGGCCCGUGGCAUAGGUAAAUCCGUGUCGCAUAUUUGGGUGAGGCGUGAUGCGUAGACCUUUGUGGUUGAUGUUGGUGAUCCUGUACUGUCGAGAAAAGCCUCUAGCGAGUGCAUAUAUGGCCCGUACCCAUAACCGACACAGGUGGUCAGGUAGAGAAUACUAAGGCGAUCGGGUGAACUGUGGUUAAGGAACUCGGCAAAUUGCCCCCGUAACUUCGGGAGAAGGGGGACCAUUGCUGGUGACCGACGUGGUUGAGCUGGUGGUGGUCGCAGAGAAUAGAGGGAAGCGACUGUUUAUUAAAAACACAGGUCCGUGCGAAAACGUGGAAGUUGAUGUAUACGGACUGACGCCUGCCCGGUGCUGGAAGGUUAAGAGGACCUGUUAGGGCAUUUUUUGUCCGAAGCGGAGAAUUUAAGCCCCAGUAAACGGCGGUGGUAACUAUAACCAUCCUAAGGUAGCGAAAUUCCUUGUCGGGUAAGUUCCGACCUGCACGAAUGGCGUAACGACUUCCCUGCUGUCUCAACCACAGGCCCGGUGAAAUUGCAGUACGAGUAAAGAUGCUCGUUACGCGCGGCAGGACGAAAAGACCCCGGGACCUUCACUAUAGCUUGGUAUUGGUGUUUGGUUCGGUUUGUGUAGGAUAGGUGGGAGACUGUGAAGUGGUCACGCUAGUGGUUGUGGAGUCGAAAGUUGAAAUACCACUCUGAUCGGAUUGAGCACCUUAACCUUGGCCCAUGAUCUGGGUUGGGGACAGUGCCUGGUGGGUAGUUUAACUGGGGCGGUUGCCUCCUAAAGUGUAACGGAGGCGCCCAAAGGUUCCCUCAGCCUGGUUGGCAAUCAGGUGGUGAGUGUAAGUGCACAAGGGAGCUUGACUGUGAGACUGACAGGUCGAGCAGGGACGAAAGUCGGGACUAGUGAUCCGGCACCUACUUGUGGAAGUGGUGUCGCUCAACGGAUAAAAGGUACCCCGGGGAUAACAGGCUGAUCUUCCCCAAGAGUCCAUAUCGACGGGAUGGUUUGGCACCUCGAUGUCGGCUCGUCGCAUCCUGGGGCUGGAGUAGGUCCCAAGGGUUGGGCUGUUCGCCCAUUAAAGCGGCACGCGAGCUGGGUUUAGAACGUCGUGAGACAGUUCGGUCUCUAUCCGCCGCGCGCGUUGAAACUUGAAGAAGGCUGUCCCUAGUACGAGAGGACCGGGACGGACGUACCUCUAGUGUGCCAGUUGUCACGCCAGUGGCAGGGCUGGUUGGCUACGUACGGGAGGGAUAACCGCUGAAAGCAUCUAAGCGGGAAGCCUGUUUUGAGAUGAGGUUUCUUUUGAGGUUCCCUCUAGACUAGGGGGUUGAUAGGCCAGAUCUGGAAGCGUAGUAAUGCGUUAAGGUGACUGGUACUAAUUUUACCGAGUAAUAACAGUGU
rnacentral:rRNA from 1 species